rnacentral:lncRNA from 1 species
UUAAUUUGUAAUGAGUACCUUAUAGGACACUCAUUGAUGAUUUCCAAGUUUAAUUAGCCGAUGAGAAUGAUGAUAAAUUUAACGUGAAAACACCAACUCAUUUCAAAAUGCUGAAUUAGUCUAUAUGAUAAGGUACUCGUCGAAGACUAUAUUUACAUGUUAAUUUGUUCUUUUUGUAGAUUAAUUGAGCCUACACAUAUAUGCAGAAUUUGAGAUUAUCAUUGUGUUAACUCGAAACAAUCUUGCAACCCAAGGUUUCAAUCUAGCUAGUGAUUAGCUGUAACCAUUUACAAAGAUCCAUGCCCACAACUUCCAUGAGUUCAUUUGUAAUAGAUAAUUAGCAAGCAAAUUAACUACAAAUAAUCAAGUUCAUGCAUUGUAGAUAAUUAUAUCUUGAGUGAUAUACAGUUAAUCUCAUCAAAAUGAGGAAGUAAUUUUUUUUUUUUUUUUUGCUGAUGACUGAUCUUAUCAGCUCUUUUCUUUUACUAUCAUCUUGUCUGAAUUUUUUUUUCUUUUCAGAUAAGAAUAUGGAAGAUGCAUGGAUAUAUGCACUACUACCAUGAAUUUUGUUGUUCUUUACUUAAAUUAAAGUACUCGAAUGACGGUCGACAUUCAAGCACGGACGUUGGUACGUGAUAGAGGCAUUCUAUUGCUGCUAUAUAUACCCAGCCUACCCUAACUCUUGAGUUGUAUCCCAUGAAGGCCUGAGCUCCCAACUUCCUUAGAUAAUACAUGGCUGGCCAGCUUAACUACUUCUCGUUCUUUAUCUUCCUAGUCUUGCUUUCAUUUCCAGGUUUUCAUCAAGCUCGUGCUCGAGCACCAUUGCUGAAGGAGACCAAGGUCGUCGAUCGAUCGAUAAUGAUGGAGAGUGCCAGAAAGGUGCUGAGGGCUGGUAUUCAAAGACAAGACGGAAAGCCUUUCGACUCCAAACGCUUGAGUCCCGGCGGCCCUGAUCCACGCCAUCACUAGACGACGUCUGUCUGCCGUACGUGACUUGAUCAAACUUUCGAGCUGCAGUACUAUAGGAUCUCACAAAAACGAUGCGGCGAAACGAGUGUGCUAGCUUAAUGUUAUUGCAAGUCUCAUACUUGAUCUUACAUUACGAGUCAUUUUUUUCCCUUCAUUUUUGAAUUGUUCCGUCUUGAUUUGUGUUACAGUUAGAGGCUUGAAUUAUAAUCAGGGAAGAUGUACGUAACUUCAAUUGUUGAGUAAUAAAUUUUGGAAUUUUAAAAUUUUAUCUAUAUAUUCAAAGAAGACAACUCUUUAUAUAGCAGUACUAUACCAGCUCCCUUUGUAAACUAGUUCUAUAUCAUCAUAUCGACAUAGUGAUAUAGAUCGAGCUAGCUAGUUGACUAAUCUACUGAUUCGGUUUACUGUUUACCUUUAUAUUAAACCGGCCGGUUAAUAUAUCAGUAUUGCAUGUUUUAUUAAUAUAUAUAUACACACACACAUAAUUCCCUUUCAAAGCGGGUUUGAAAUUAAAAUGUGGAUCUUCUUAUUUCACUCACGUUAGGUCGCAUUUCCACAUCUUAACCGUACAAUGUCUAGAACAUAGUGUACGUAUCGAAUUAGAUUAAAUAAAUCAACAGAACAAAAACUGUCAAAACAGAUUCAUUCGUGUAAAACUAUAAAUCACGAUUACGGAAGCUCAAAUGAUCUUCAAAUUGGAUGAAACUUUGCAAAAAUAAUCUACACACUGUGUUUUAGACACUAAAAUGUGGAGUUGUGGAAAUGCAACUUAAAAGUGAGCGAAAUAAGGAUGUCUACACUUUAAUUUCAAAGCGGGACACUGCUCUGGAAAAGAACUGUGUGUGUGUGUCUAUAUAUAUAUAUAUAGAUUUUCUCAGCUGCGGAUGUCCGCACCGAUUUUUUGGUGCGGAUUUCCAUUUUUGCACCACUUCCCGAUCGAAUUUCCUCAAACUUCCUUCUAGACAUAUCUAGAUCAUCUCUGCAAAAUUUCAGCCAAUUUGGUGAUCGUUAAGGCCCUCAAAAUCGAAAAACAAAUCUGACGGACUGAAUUCUGUCCGGUUCAAGUAUAUAACAGAAAAACGCAAGUUUGAGGGCCUUAACGAUCACCAAAUUGGCUGAAAUUUUACAGAGAUGAUCUACACANNNNNNNNNNNNNNNNNNNNAGACGUACUAUAUAUAUAUAUAUAUAUAUAUAUAUCAUAUAUUAAUGUACCAUGAGAAACUUAAUUCAAAAGGUGAAAUAAACUAAACUCAAUAGUGUACGUAGCAAGUUCUACAAGAUGAGAUUGAAUAUAUGUAGUAAUGGCUUAGUCCAAAAAUUGUAGGGUUGCCCAUUAAGUGGUGCUCCAUUGUUGCAAAUAUUAAUAGUUAGAAUAUAUAUGAUCAUGCAUCCAAGAAAUUAAGUUCCAUGGUUUCCACAUCUUAACCUUACAUUAGUAAUAACCAUCUUACAAAUGGUGGGGUAUUCCCAUUUAGCUGCCUUCAUUAGCAAAAUGUUACAAAAGGAAUGGCUGCAUCAAACUUGAAUAUAUGCAUGUAUGCGCUUUCAUGUUUAAGCACUUAUUAGUGAUCAAAAUGGCCAUUACAUAUAGUGGUCUGUGGGAAAAUGGUAUCGUAACUGGUAAGAACAAACAAAUUAUGCAUACCUUUCUUAUAGUAGUUCUGAACUCGGUGGUGAUUAGAUAAUGAGUUGAAGUGCAUCCCUUUUCUCUUUUACAAAUGAGACUAUAUAUGAGAGUAAUUUGACUAUUCAUUUUUUUAACUUUGACUAAUAAUCGUCCUCUAGCCACUGCCUCGAUCACACUAUAUAUUGGCUACCAAUCAAAAUUAAUAAUCUUGUACUGCAUGUAGUGCUAAAUCAUUAUUUUACCUAAGCAAGCAUUACGUAGAUAUACUAGAACUUAUCUAAACGACUAAGCCCAUAGUUUUCAACGCACGAGAGCAUAUGAAAUGACAGAAAUCUUAUAUGCGAUAUUGAGUGCUUGACUUUGGGAAAGUAUAAUCAAUAAGUUGAAGUAAGUGACCUAUCAAAAAUUCAUCUAUCAAUAUUAUCUUGUUGGUCGACCAAACUCGGAUAACUCAUGAAAAACGAAUAAUUUGGAAACAUAUAUCAACCAAAAUAUAGUAGUCGUGUUACCUUUUUGAGUACUACAUAUAAUCUUUUUUUUAUACACACACACCAUCUCAUAACAACAGUUGUUAUAGAUGAAUUAUGCAGAGAACAAUAUUAUCGAUGAAAGUAGGUUAACUAACAACUUUAAUUGAUAGUUUUUUUAAGGCUCUUUUUAUGAGCAUUUAAGCAUCAUUUUUUUUAGGGAAAAAUGGAGUACGUCAAACUCCUUUGAUUUCAAUCAUACGACCUUACUAGGUCAAACUAGGAGAAUAUCCGAAGAAAAAUCCAUAUUACAUGCCGAUGCUCACUCGACUAAUGUGACAAGCGGGAGUAAAACUCCAAAAUAAGUCCAACAGUUGGUCAACCAGGAGCAAAGCUCCGAUACAAUUCAAAGAGUCUACAGAACUACAAAGAAAAACUAACUCAAAAAAACUAAUGUCCAUAAGAGGACUUUAUUUUGGUUUAGAAAGCAGUAACCUAUAUAAACCAACCAAAGUACCCCAGCUCAAUGAAUCGAGGCCUAAGACCAUUUUAGUGUAUAUUUCCAUCAAAAAGGGGUUAAACUCUUCAAUAUGGUUGUGUAGGGAUCUUCUCCAGCCCCAAAAGAGUCACCAAAGCUCAGAGCAAAGAAACUCACCCAAGUUGGAUUGAGGAGGGAGAGUGGAAAGGCUCACGAAACCCAAGCCACAUCCACUGCCCUCAAACAAAAGCAUCAGAACUGGUAUCGCCCAGCCUCAGUCCGGUGGCCUACCCAGCCACGACCCCAUAUCCUCUAACUCGGUGAGCCGCCUCUAAGGAGCAAGAUCAACUCCUUCUCCUACACGAAAACUCGACCUCCUCUGAACAAAAGCUGACAGCGGGAACAAAGAAAGCCCGCCUCCGCCUACCGUCGCCGCAAAGGACUCCUCUGAUGUACCUCCGCCGGAUAGCCUACGAUCUAUCGCCUUCUUGCUUGCUUUCAAGCUACCUCGAUCUGUCGCCAUUGCUGACGUGCACUACCACUCUAUGCUUGCUGUAACACAGCGCAUACCUUCGCUUGUCUUCCACCAAACCGUCAUUUGUUCCUGCCUUUCGCAGCAAAGAUCAACACCCAGACCCUACACCAAGGUUCUGAACUACUCCUAUCACAACAAGCCCAAACAGCCUGCCGGAGAAACCACAAUCGAGCACUCCAUCGGGAUGGAGUGCCGUUUGACGAACACAACAGCUGGAACUCGCCGCCGCCUUGAACCAAAACCUAGGGUUUUGGAAUACUCAAAUCUGCCUAUUGUGGAGCGAUUCCGAUUUUGAUAUAUGUAAACAAAUAUCCUCGGCCUCUUUGAGCAUUUAAGCAUCAUUAAACGGCUACAUACUCUAUUUAUAUAUUUAUCAUAUUAUUAUUAAUCAAACUUAAAAGAGUUUUAUCUUAUUUUCUGAUAGACUCCAUAAUUUUUACUUUAGGGUUUAUGAGUUUAUCACGUGUAAACUCAUCCAUACUUCCUAGUGUGUCUAAGACUCUAAGUACUAGGAUGCAACUUUAACGCUAGCUUAUAAAAAUCGUUUAAUAUAUUUACCGUUUUCUAGAUCACUUUGAUUAAUUAGUUACAAUAUAUACAUAAUGUCGACACCCUCGAUAAUUUCAUCAACUCAAUUUUAUAUCUUCCAAUCCUCGUCACUUAAGCUAGCUAGCCAAAGAGCUCAUACAAUUGAUACUGUAAAGUUUAAACUUCGAGUUCAAACAAAAGAACAUUUAGCUAAAGUGGAUUAAUCCUAGUAUGUAUCCCGUUGUAUAUCCUACUAGACAUGCAAUAUGGAUGAUCAAGAUAUCCAUCAAUUUGUGUAUCUCUUAUUAUUGUUAUUGCUAUAUAUGAUCUGGUUCACAACUCCUUUUGUACGUGCCAUGUAUGAUGGCGCUGCAUGCACUAAAAAAGAAAUCUGGAGAAAACGUUUUGGAGGGCUAGCUCGAGGUCCUCAACCCUUUGAAGUUUUCACCCAUUUGGAUUAGCCAACAACUCCAAGAAGAUCUUGCAUCUCCUUGGUUAACAGGGAUUCUCGCUCGAUUCUCUGUAGUAAUCGCACUACUGAAGCAUACACACAGCCUGGAGAACAAUAUAUAAGAGAGAGUCCCUUUAAACUGAAUGUGUUGCAUAUAAUUAUAUAUAGACAUAUAUAGGGACAAAAAGCAAUAUAUAUAAAUACGCCCUAAAGCUUCUCAACUUUUACCAAAGAUAACAGUAAAAGUCGAGCAACUAUAUUUAAACCUGGAAAGUUUCAUAGUUUCAUGGGAUAUUGAUCACUUUCAGUUUCAGACAUCAGAAAGAUCCAAGUUCCAUUGAUAUAAAUGCUAAGAAAGAUUUCAUGCGUGCUCCAAAAAGGCCAAGAGAGAUGACUAGCCACCAACUCUACAAAGGAAUUUGAGAAAUGACAGUACCUAUUAGUUCGUGCACAUGUAUAUCAUUUAUGGGUAGUGACGUAGUCAAAAAUCUCACUAGAUCGAAUGACCAAAUUUUAUUAAUUAAGAAAUUAAAUUCAUUUUCAGUUAUUCUCUAACAAUGACACCAUUUUUUUGCUUAGAUAACACACUCAACUUAAUUUCAAAUAUCACACAUCUCAAAACGUUGACUUUUGCUCUGCUAGGGUUUUGCCUUAGCCGUGCAACUUGAUGGAGCUUUACAGCUUUGAUGGUGGGGAUGGAAGUGGCGGUGUCAUCUGUUAUGCUGGAGGCUGUGGUGAGGUUUGAUGAUGAGGAGGAGGAGUUGCUUCAAGACUCUUUCUUUUAUUUGUGUGGCCGGGUGCUCACCAAGAGACUGGUGAACUUUCCGUCGCUCUCGGCGACGAUCUCCGGUGUGUGGCGGCUGAAGGAGAGCUGGCUUUGAUCCGUGAGGAGAAGGAUAUAGGAUUCUCGUUUUUCAGUUUUGAGAACUCGAAAUGAAGCGUCGGGUUCUGGGUGGCGGCCCUUGGUAUUACAACAACGCGAUAUAAUUCCAAUUGUAUGCAUUUGAGCAUUUGAGCGUAUAAUCGAUUGUAUAUAAUUGUAUAUAUUACGGCCAUGAGCUUAAUAUCAUUUACUUGGAAGACCUGUGAUCAUGAUUAAAUUAGUUAUAAUGCUCGAAUUAAGAUCAUAUAUAUGUUAUAAUUCACAACAGAUUACAUGGUUUCUAUUGUUGAAUCGAAGCAGCUCAUACAUAUAGCUAUAGCUAGCAUGAAAUUUUAUCUACUAUGACCUAGCAUUAUUUUUUCGGUAUAUCGCCAAAAUUGUAAAGCAAAUGGAGUAACCAAUGAUUCACUCUUUGCUAGAUGGUGUUUGUUAAUAUCAUAAUACGCAGAGACUCUUGAUAAUAUUUUGAGAUGUUCUCACUUAUGGGGUUUUAGGCAAUAUGUCCACCCACCUUGUAUUAUGAGGUUUUAUUAAUAGUUAAGGUGUAAGGGACUCGUUCUAGCCCUUUAAUUCAUAAAAUAAAAAAAAUAAAAAAUAAAAACUUAUUACAUCGGUAAUAAGUUCUAUUACUGGUAUAACACAAUUGUUAUAUUUUGUUUUGAUCAAUCAAAUAACUCAAAUACAACAACGUGUCUACUCACAACAUCCAAUUUACAUAAGGAAAACCGAUACCACUACACCAAAUGGUGAUUGGGCACACAAUUGUUAUAUUAAUAACUGACUUUCACAAAUCUAACUAAACUUAACUAAAAAGUAAAUUAUAUUGUUGGAGAGAUGAAUUAAAAUUUACAAUUUUUUUUUUUCAAUAAAAUGAGUUGAUGAUUCUUGAAAGUGAUUACUAAUUUGAAUAACCCUUUAGCAUGUUUUCUGUUAAAAAAAAUUCAUCCCAAAGGAACGCGCCUCACGUGCGGUAAGGCGCCUUGUCCUGUUGAGGUGGCAGUGCUCCAAGGCAAAGCGGCGGCGGUGCUCCAAGGCAAAGCGGUUGUGUUGUCCUGUUGAGGUGGUGAUCAGCUUUGAAGGCUGAGCGAAGGGUGGUUGUUGUGGCUUCCGAUCUUGAGCAGACGAGGUUUUUCUCGGCAACACUCCGGGGGAUCAGGGUUUUCUUUGUCUAGUCGGAUCUUGGUAGUCGACGUCGGUGAAGGCUUUGGAUAGACGCUAGGGUUUUUGGGUCAAGGAUUCCGGCCAUCUCGAUUGCCACAUCGUUGUGCAGAGGUGUCAAGGUUUUGAGGGCUUGGUGUAGAUCGGGGUUAAUCGACUUCGGUUUGAGCGGUGGUACUGUGCGACUCGUCUGCUAGAGGAGGCUCACUUGAGGCUGGCAUAGAUGUUCCUGUGGCAGGAAAGACCACCGGAUUGUUUUGACGGAGGCGGCGGCAAUCCGGGUGGUCCGAUCUGGGGGCUGGCUUUGGUCUCUAGGGCAGACAGGCUGACAGUGGAAAGUUGGCAUGUGGGAGUGGGCUGGGUCCUUUUGGGCCUGGCCAUUUUCCCUCUUCCUUCUAACUCAGUUUGUUUAUGAGCUAGAGGUCCGGAGUCGUGUUCCCAUAACCGGACCUAUUACAUAAUCUUGGUCCAAGGCUGUUCACUCUAGCGGAUGAAGGGGUACACCAUGAAGGUCUCUAGACCCCAAUUUAAUAAUAACAGAUGCUGUGGAUUUGGGUUAUGACGAAUAAAAUAGUUUUAUUGGUUAUCCGUUUUUUUUUGGGUACGUAUUUUGGUUUAGUUUUGAUUGUCCACCUUUUUAAACUCUAUUUUCUGAGUAGGAUUUUAUUUUUUUUGUAAUCCCUUAGGGUGAUUAUCUGACUAUUCGUAUAGUCAAUCGAGCAGUGGAUGUAAAUGAGGGUCACUCGUGACCUUCAAGCUUGAUCUUGUAAGAUCGUAUUAAUGAAUGAGCUAUUCCGCUCACGGGAGUAACAUCCAUUUCCCUAAAAAAAAAAAAAACAAGAAAAAAAAGUGAGUACUGUUGAAGGAGAAAAGAUAACGAGAAUAACGGUAUACUCAUUCAUUGAUAGAAAGGCCUAUUUAUAGGCAUUACAUAGAGUCUCCCGAAGGAUCUACAAAUUCUAUCAAUUGUAAUCUAUUCUAAUAAGGAAACCGGAUUAACCAAUCCUACGUGUAUUAGGGUAAGACACAUAACAGAAGGACGAAAACAUAAUUUCCUUAAACACUCCCUUUUGUGUUGCGUCCCUAAUACGAUAUGGUGCUUAUAGUGUUGCAUCGGUAAAAACCUUGCCAAGUAAAACAAAAACCUCGUGGGUAAAACAAAAGACUUAGACGAAGAGAAAAAGAGCACAAUACACCAACUACAAUUGAAGAUAACAUGUGAUGCAUGUAGACUCCCCCUAAUGUCUACACAACGACUCCCCCUGAUUGGUAACUCAAUCUCGGAGUACAGAUAAACGACGUAAGCCAAUGCACUUCACAUACUUCAAAAGUAGACUUGGGCAACGAUUUAGUCAUUAAAUCCAGCCACAACAUCCUUAGAUCAGACUUGCUAUGCUUAGCAUUACUUUGAUCUUUAAGGAGAAGGUUGUCUAACAACUCAGAACAUAAGUUUGCGUUGAAAAUCAUAUUCACGCAUGGCAUGACCUUCGUGUACUUAAACAGUCAUAACGUCUUCGAUACAAUAGGUAUGGACAAACCGUAUAAAGUUAUGAAAACUAAACACCCGUAGUUUUCCAACCGUAUAAGGUCCAUAACCUAGUUCAUCUUGAGCUGAUCACAAAGCUCUGUCGAAGUUGACUGUUCUGCCAAAGCAGAUUCUCGGACAGAUCCAUCCUAUUUUACGAAAAUAGCCGUAACUCACUCAAUAUGAUAGAUGUGAUCAAAUGGUUGGUGUUCCUGAAAAGUAGACACAUGGACCUUUCCAAUGGUACCAAUUUCACCAUUUUCCAACGAGUGGGCUAUCCUGUAGGUCCCGUGGAAGUUGACCUACAAAACUGGGCAGAUUCUGAUUUUGCAUUUGAUGUGUCUUUCUGUAGGGAUAAAUAAGUCUGAACCUUUCAUAGAAGGAAUCACUACCAUUACAUUGGCGUUGCAUGGGCGCAUCCGAUCACUACAUUAAUGUUCCUUCACACUCAUCUAAGAGGGAGCGAAGAUGCUCGACCGCUAGGAAGAGAGUUGAAAGACUAAGGAGAACUUGGCCAUACAAGUUUAUAGUGAAUGAGAUGUCAAGUCGAGCAUAUUGUAACAAGUACAUAAAUGUGCUACCAUACUUAGAUGGAAAAUUUCUCCCAAGACUUCUUCGUCAUAUGGAUGAAACAAGUCUUCUCAAGACUUCGAUCGAUCAAGGGAUACAUACAGGCAUAACUUCAUUGUCCUUUAGCUUGCCUUAAGUCGAUAGAUGAAUAAGCAUCAUCAAUAACGGUCCUCACUUUCGAGACCAAGUAUUCCCAAGAUCCUUUCAUUCUUAAUUUUGGAUCAGUGGCAUCUCUUAGUUUAACAAGAGUUCAUCACGAUUCAUCUAGAUUUUACACGCAAAUAGGCAUAAUUCUUCAUAUCCCUUCCCCAUCAAGUAGAUACUAAGCAUAUACCUUGCAAACGCGCUCCGUGGUCAGGGGCCACUUGAUUUGGGUGAAAACCGAUCUAUUCAAGAUCUUUAUGUACAUCUCUUAGUUCCCAACAAAGAUAAGUUGUGACCACAAGCUGCUUGUUCAUUUUUUCAGAAACUACCUAAUUGAUAAGGUAGUACAUGGAGUGCAAUGACAUCCAUAAUGAGAGUAUAUCUCAUCGUAAUCGAUUCCAGGGCGUUUGUGAGAGACUUUGCGCCAGAAGGUGAGUCUAAACUCUUUUUCUCACUACGCUUUCUAACAAAGACAUAACUGAUAGAGUUUAACUUGGGGUGUCGGCGUCACCUAACCAAAGCACUAUCUCUUUGUUUAAACUGGAUAGCAUCUUUCCAUUUAGGCCAAUCUACAACGUUGGUAUUUUCUCAACGAAGUAUGGUUCGAUAUCAAAACUCAUUAAAUGAUGUCAUCAUGUACACCGGUGUAAUUUCAAAGUGUAGAGAUCUCUAUAUGGAUUGGUAUUGACAAUGAGGCGUCCUCCAAUGAUGACCAUAAUCCAGAAAUAAUAGACGAAUGAGUAUCAUUGAUCAAAUGAUCAAGUUGUGCCAAACUCGCAUUCUUUCUUGACCAGGUGGCCUUCCCCUAAACCAUGGGAACCACGGCCUAGUGACACCAUCUACCACUUUUGUGGCAUCACCAUGCCACCAUCUAUGGGUGACGACAUGUCCUCUUACCCGGACAUCAACAUGUCCUUUUAUCCGGACAUCAACAUAUCUUUAUCCGGACAUCAAUCCUUGCAAGCAUGUUUGCAGCAUGUAUAUAUGAUCUCGUCGCUUUAGGGAACUUGAUGAGACACAGUAGGGACAAACCACGACAAUUCCAAGUCGUUCUACUUGAACAUUUUUGUUCUUAUCUCCCCCUAACGACGGGAAGACUGGCUCAUCAAAGUGGCAUAAAAGAGAUCGCCUAUUAAGGUUUCUAUAUAAGCGAACUAUAGUCGAAAGCUCAUGUCUUAUUCAAAGACAAUAUUCAUCAUAAAUAACCCAUCAUUGUACGCUUGUGGAAGUGCAAUUUGGCACAUACAACAUGUGGACGAUAGAACGUUAACUCAAUCCGUUAACAAAUAUGCAUACCGUUACAACCGUAACAUAAAGAGUUGAAUGAUGGUGGGUAAAGAUGAAUAAGUAAAACUACGACCCUGCUACAACCCGUAGUCAUUGGUCUUACAGGUCCAAAAAACCGCUGGCCUCACCGUCGGGACCUGCCAAAAAGAAACCGAUUGAACCGACCGCUAGCAUGACCGGACCUUUGUUUUUACACUUCUUUUAACGGUUCACUAUUUUUCAGAGCUCCAAACGCCAGCCUCGACGACAGAACCGGCCGAAAAAGUUCUGAACCGGCCGUCGGAGUCGCCAGACAUCCGUGAACACUUAUAUUGAUCGGUUCAUCACUUUGCUUGUCUCCAAAUGCCAUCACAUUUUGUGAGUAGGUAGGCUAGGAUGUUAGGAAUCAGUGGCCGUAAACAGAACCUCAAGAACCGGUAUAAAAGUAGGUGUCACCGCCCACGGCUCACUGUUGGAUCUUGUAGAGAAAGAGGAGGAUUUUUCAACAUCCAAUUUUGGAUAACAUUUAGCAUAACGCAAUUUCCUUUUUGCAAUGAUAUGAAUCCGCUAAAGAAUGUAGAAAACGACUCUUGUUUGUAAUGCAUUUAUAGAAAAAUUGUAUAAGUGUGCAUUGUGCCACACUUGACAUUACAAAUCCUCUUUUGAUCCAGAAAUGAUGUGCAUUUCGCCACAUCAUGAUAUUUUUGCAAUUAUAUGAAUCCGCUAAAGAGUGUAGAAAACGACACUUGUUUGUAAUGCCUUUACAGAAAAAUUGUAUAAGUGUGCAUUGUGCCACACUUGACAUUACAAAUCGUCUUUUCAUCCAAAAACGAUGUGCAUUUCGCCACAUCAUGAUAUUUUAGCCUUUAGAUACGUCACCUUAUAGUAACCGAUGGUCCAAUGUAGUCCAUGUAGUGCCAUGUUGUAAUGCGAUAUAUUGUAUUAAUAUAUAAUUUAUGUAGAUUGAACCAUAUGUACAAGACAAAAUCCGAAUAUAUGUGCCAACAAUUGCAUCGUGGUCUUGACCAUGAAUUUAAUUCAAAAUAUAAUGAAUAAGUAACUUUAGUCAAAUAUGUGACGUGUAUCACAAAACUUGGAAAAAUAACGGAUUUUAUAGUCACUAAGACUAUUAAACCGAAGUCAUGUGUUUUAUAUCUUCUGCAAUAUACCUUUUGCUUUUAAAAUCCGUAACUGUGAGACUAAUGUUCUCAUCUUCUUUCAUAUAGUGAGUUUCUUGCUUCAAGAACUCCAUAUAUUUCUUGUAUACAUUGACCAUAAUACUGCUUUCUUUGCAAUUAAUGAACCGAUGUAGAACCACAUCAACAACUUAAUUUUUCUUUUACUAGCCCAAUCUUUAUAUGACAUGUGGGGUUCGAGGCAUUGCCUGCCCCUCUUUUUUCAGAACGCGUGACACAAAUUUCGUCUCUUGUUUUUUUAUGUAAAAUUCAGGGCUCAUGUUUCGGUCAAUUAUCAAAACAACAAGAUGGAAGAUUAACUAUUAUCGAUGUACGAUAAUUAAUUCCAAGUAAUUGGGUCAAGACCAUGAUUUAUGGUAACUCAAUUCGAUGUGAACCGUGACAAGUUUCGUCACAAAUCAAUAUUAACCGUGACAUUUCCGUCACAAAUCGAUGUUAACGAUAACAAUUUCCGUCGCAAAUCAAUAUUUGUCCCUUAAUUAACCACGACAAUAUUUCGUCGUAAUACCGUGACUUAUCAAACCGUCACAAAUUUCAACUUUGAUAUGAGGGGUCCCAAUCCCUCAAUAUCGUCCCACAUUAUAAAGAAAGGUGAGAUGUAGAAGAAGGCUAUAAAGCCCGGCUAUAAAAUUGAAAUUUAAAAGCGACAACUUUUAUAAAAGCUUACUUGCUAGUUUGCCAAAUAGAAGUUGUUCGUGCAAUUCCAUCGCAAUCAGUCACGCGAUAAAUUUCAUGAAAUGAAAAUAUAUGGUUAGUAAUAUUCACCAUAAAUAUAAAAACAGUAAAACUAAUUAAAUAGUUACUACUGUAAAUAAACUGUUUUUACUCUGAGGUAAAAACUUUUUACAUGGAGGGCCAAAUUUACCGUUUGCCCCUCUUACAUUCAGUACGUUUCGUUUCUGGAAACAUGGAGCGGGUCGGAUCUUGAAAUCUGGGUCAAGCAGAUCCGGGUUGGUGGCGAGCACAGGUCGACGGGCCGGAGAGCUAGGGUGGCGGCGCCGAAUUGGGAUCGGAAGCACAGCUCGGCUCGGCUGGGUGUGCGUUGUUGGCGGCCGAGGCUGGGUCGUUGGCGCCGUCGAGGGUUGCCGGAUCGGGGCUGGGCUGAGCCCGGAAGUUGGCUGGUGAGGUCUAGCCUGACUGUUGCUUCGUCUGUGUGCGGGGCUAGAUGCCGGAGGUGAUGAAGGGUGCCCAGAUCAGAUUUCUGGGUGCCUAGACCAUAUUCCCGGAAUCCCGGUUCGGAGAAAACCGGUGUAGUGGAUUCCGGGUACAACUCAAGGACGCCGGGGGUUGGUCGGAAAAAAAAAUAGGGUUUUUGGUUUUUUUUUUUUUUUUUAGGGUUUUCGUUAUUAAGCUCGGAUUAGAGCAAAAUGCUGAUAACUUGUUGAAGGAGAAAAUAUAACAAAAAUAACGGUUUACUUAUUUAUUGAUAGAAAAACCUAUUUAUAGGCAUUACAUAGAGUCUCCCAAAUGAUCUAGAAGUUCUAUCCAUCGUAAUCUAUUCUAAUAAAGGAACCGGAUUAACUAAUCCUACGUGUAUUAGGGCAAGACACGUAACAGAACCGACGAAAACAUAAUUUCCUUAAAUAAUUACUAAUUUCCUUAAACUUUAUGAUUUUGAUAUUGGAAAAGUAUAGGCAACAUUGGAGGUCGACUGUAUGCUCUAUCUCUAUAUAUGUGUAUCCAGCCGUCCAUGCUCAUAACUCGUCACACCGAGCAACUUCAGUUAUCAAACCAUAACAAUGGCUGCAAACUUUAGCCGCCUCAAGUUCUGGUUUUGCCUUUUUCUAGUCUUGCUGAGGUUUUCGAACUCAGAGUCUGGUUCUCCUCCAUCGUCUUUAUCCAACCGGAUGAGGAUCAGCCAGCGGCCUCCUCGGGCAUUUUUGAUGGAGACUGCCAAACUAGUGUUGAAGGCAAGCAUUGCAAGACAAGCAUCUGCGGCAGGAAGAAGAACUCACUUGGUGUCGAAGCGAGUCAGUCCUGGGGGACCUGAUGGACACCAUCACUAACUUCUUUGUCUUUAGGUUUUAAACUUUGAAGACGCAGCCCGUACAAGAGUUGCAGAGUUGGUAUAUACGCGUAAAGGUUUGUCAUCAUCAUCAGUCAUGAGCAGCACUUUCUUAAGAGCUGUUCGAAUUUGAGACACGAACUUUUGAUCAUUCAUCAGUUUGAUUUUUGAAGCUUUGCAGUUCUGGAUAUGUAAACUUUUCCUAGUGGUGAUUAUCAGUAAGAAAUAUUAUAUGAAUUGUUAUUAAGAGAAAAUGUUAAUUAUGUACGUGGUGGGAGCAAUGUAUAGAGCUAUUUUAUUAGGUCAACUCAACAAUCAUUGCAAGCAAUACCAUUCAAAUUCAGACUUAUCACUCGAAAAAGAGAGAGAUUCAUGAGUAACACACAUAAAACAUAUAAACAUAGUCAUCUGUACAUAUUGUCUUCUUUACUCUUCAACUGGACAGAUUAUUGGUCAAUGAACUCAUCUAAUUAAUUAGUCGAGCAAGCACUUUCACACAACUAAAUCGUUUUUUGCUGGAGCACGCUUUAUUUUAUCACGUUCGCAACAAGCUGAACAGAUAUAUAAUGGCAUCAUCUGUUAGAUGAAGGAAGAGGACCAGAAUACUGUGAUGGGAUUGUAAGAAUCAGUUGAAAGAGUAACAGAAGAGAAUGCAGAGGAUGGGGUUGUUGGGAAUGAUGUUCUAUAAUCCUUGAUUCAUAUCGACAUAUUCUUAUGACUUGCAUGCAUAUUGCUUUCAUACACAUCCCUUUAGUGUUGAUCAGAUAAGAUGCAAUCUUUGACCUUCCUGUUGUUUCCUCUAAUUCCACUACUAAUAAUCACGUUUUGAAUUCGAAAGUAGAUUCUUGCCGACAGAGUGAAGCAAGAGAGAGAUUUGAUGCAGCAAUUGGAUAUACAAUACAUGUUUGAUACACCUGAAUUUCACAUCAUUUGAUGUUGUCGAAGAAUCUAGCUAGACCAGGUACUUGCUGCGCCGAGGCCUGAGAAUCCAAAUGUCCACUUAAACUAACUAGCGGCCGGGGUACUUUCAGGGGGGCCUUGCCCCUUUGGAUAGUUAUAAAAUGUUAUCAGACAAACUUAUCUGUAGCAUAGAUGAGGGAAGGUGCCAGUGCCACCACCCCCUACAGAGAAUCCUUAAAUGCGGUCUCAGCAAGACCAAUUUGUAUGUAGCUAUCUCCUAUCUAGCUGUGAAAUGUCUAAACGAACAAGAAAUGACUGCAGGUUUAAGACUUAAUAUAUAGUUCGUUGUAUACAGAUGACAUAUUCAACAAGAGUAAAUUAAGUUGAGGCCUUAAGCUAGGGUCUUAUAUAUACGUCUUUGGGUUGUUAUCUUGGGUCAAUCUGGUUAUCACUCUCAAGACCCUAAGAUAUAUAUGGAUCGGUCGACAGCAAAGCAUGAGUAGAUGCAUUAUAAGAAAAGGAUUUCCUUAUUAGUUAACUUAUAAGAUCAUUUACUGAAGCUUUAAACUAAUUAAAUGAAUCUAGAAGAGAUCCUCCAACUAGCUACUGUGUCUCACUCCUUUUGGGGUCAAACAACUUGCUUCAGUUUUGGACUUGAGCUCAAUUUUUCAAGAUACUUCCUUUCUUUGAUUAGUUGUAUUUUCAGCCCUUUCCUAUUCUUCUAAAGGCAAGCUUGUUGAUACCAAUCUUGAUAUUAGGUCUGUAAUCUUCUAUCAGUGCUUAAUUGCAUGUAGUUCAGAGGCAUGGUUUUCAGUUGUGUUCUUUACUUGUGUAAAAUGCGGUGUCAUGCAUCAAGUGUUAUGGUUAUUAACAGGAGCAGGUUUCUUCAGGGUAGAAAAAUACAGAGAAACGCACCAGAAGGACAAGAUUCUCACCACCAUCAGCACAUUUAAUUUCCACUGGUGUCUUUGCAAGGGGACUGGCAUAGGUAUUUUAUAGGCUGAGCAAUCUAAGAUCAGAAAAAUAAUGCUCUGGCUCAUUCAAGUAUGAACCAGUUUGAAGAAUAAAAGCAUAUACUUCGAAAGGCAUACACUUACAGUUUAUGCUGAAGCUGGAAAAUCUACAUUCAUAGUACUAAAAAUCUUGCUGGUGAUCUCACUCCAAUUUUGUUCCAUUUUUAAACUCAUCUUUCCUUGGAGAAAGUUCUACGCUUCUACGUGUACGCGUGUCAAGUUGAUCUAUACUAACUUGGGAAAUUUUUGUAUUGCUAAAUCUUGAUUCUGAUGUCUUGCAAUUUAGGACCUACCCUUUGUUCUUGCUGUUUUUGUUGCAGGAAAGACUGCAUUGUUUUGGUUUUAAAGUCGAGGCUUGGCAAUGUACUGCCUAGUUAUCUGUCAUGAAUAGUUACACACCAACACAAUUGCACUCAUGAAUUUCCAAAAUUAGAUUUACUAAAUAAUCUAAAUAUAUGCUGCAGGAAUAAUCCUAGGAAGGACUACAUGCAGUAGAAGUUCCCAUAAAUACAAGACAAUGCAAAGCCUAUGCAUUACUAGCGACUAGAGGUUUUCAUACUCUGUAGGAUGUAAAAAAUCCUUACAGAAUAAUACCAUCAGAGUAGAAACCUUUGGCUACAUAUCGAAUAUCGAUUAUUAACAAUCAGGAUUCAGGAGGAUAUGUGAAGCCUAACAAAAACAACGAACAUUCAUGUUUUCUGUAUUAAACCUCCAAAUCAAUUAGUAUCAGUGGUUCUGUAAUUAUUAUCAGGCUAAUCUGACUGUGUUUACAAAAUUUUAACUUACAAUUGUGAAGGAAACAGAUACAUAUAAGAUUGCCAAGGCAAAACAUUAUUUGGCUAGGUAAGUAAAUCAGAAGAUACAUACAUAAAAUAUCUAAUACUAGAAAUUGUAUAAAUAUACAAUUAUACAUGUACCAAAGAUAACUUCUAACUUAUUCAAAAAAGGAAAAGAGUUCACUUCUAACAAUCAGUGGAAAGAGGGUACUGACAGUAUUUUGGGUUCUUCAUGCACAGAAAGAACCGCUCAUAAGCCGAUGCCAUCUUAGUUGCAGUGAACACCGAAUGCACAUAGUUUUUGCAAGCCACCCCUUUCCUCUUCAGCACAUUAGGACCAUCUUUUAUUGCCAACUCUAAAGCCUCAACAAAAGACUCGACAUUGGGUGAGAAAGUGUAUCCAAAUUCUUCAUUCACCAACACUGUCCCAACAAUGCUCGGAUAGUUUGGAGUUAGAACUGUCUUCCCACUUUGCAUUGCUUCAAUCAAUGUUAGAUCAAGCCCUUGGGGCCUCAACGUGGGGUUGACGAACACAUCAAGAGCAUUGUAAAAAUUAGACAGCUGCAAUGGCUCCAAUGCUCCUAGUACCUUCACAUUUGUGCCUAAUUCAGCAUAUCUUCUUCUCCAAGGACCUGACCCUGCAACAAGCAAAAACACACCGGGGUAGCGCUUCACAAUUGAAGAAAAGGCUCUGUAAAGAAGUGGAUGCCCUUUGUCCUUAACCAGCCUCCCUGCCACUCCCAUCACAAGGCUCACAUUGGCAGGUAUACCAUGUUUUUCUCGGAACCUUGCACCCGCUUCAGGGUCUGGCAAAAAUUCUGUCUCAUCAACCCCAUUAAGUAUAACGUGCACAUUUCUCUGUGGGAUCUGAUAUAUGUUGACUAGAACCUCACCAGCACUCUUGCUUAUGCAUAUAUGCUGCUUAUAGUUCUUAAAGAACCGAAUCUCCUCAAUGAGCUUUGGCAAUGCUUCUUGCAGCUCUGGCAUGGGCUCUAGCAUAUCGCCAUUUGGGUCAGUCAGGAGUUGUUGCAGUAACUUAGAGUGCAUUGUUUCAUACGAUAUCCCAUGCCAAGUGACAGCCACAUUAGGCAUCCUCUUCGCACGCCAAUAAGGCAACGCAACACUCUCGGUGUGCACAUAGUCAAAUACCCCAUCCGAGUUAACUUUAUUGAAAAUUUCAAAUGCUAGUGAACAAUCAACCUUACCAUGAUCAUUUGCUGCAAAGUAAACAUGCAGGUUACCUUCAUGUAUGUCCCAAUGAGGCCUCUUAUCUGAAGGCACAGUGAAGACAUGAACCUCAUGACCCUUUGCAGCAAGCGCUUGGUACAAUGUGGAAGCAUGGCGCUCCAUACCACCCGGGUCUGCACCAACUGGCCAUGUUUUGGAGAAGACUGCCAGCUUGAGCUUCUCAAAUGUGGGACCGAAAAAUAGUUUGUUCCAUGGGAAUUUAGCAUCUCUAAGAUCACCAUUGAAUUGGGUGUUCUCAUCACCCCCAAAGAAUGGUUCUUGGGUGUUCUUAAGUGAUGAAAGGAAGAGGAACAACGAAGUAAAUAGCAGAAUCAAAGUGAGAAUGGUCGAGAAUCUAAUACGUAUGAAGUUAGAAGAAGAAGAGCUUUUGCAAGUUUGGUGUUUCAAUCCCAUUGCUACAAGAAAAGUGUGGUCCUUUGGAUGACAUGAACUUGUUAUUAUAAAGUCUCGAAUGCAAUAAAGGCUUUAGGCCAUUGAUGCCGGAUCUCCUCGAACUUGUAUAUCACAUGGCCUUUGGUCAACUCUUAAAACCCUUUUUCAGUGACAUGAAAACUCAUGAGCAUGAAAGCUCAAAGAAGUUACAAGAGGACACAAGUGCUUUGUUUGCUUCAAUGUGUUUUCACUCGUUGCAAAAUAAUCACCAUAGUUUGGUUCUUUUUCUUGGAACCCCUUUUUCUUCACUAGGCCAAAAAAGAUGCGACCUUUGCACAAGCAAAGACCCAAAACGACAACAGCCGAUGACAAAACGACACACACAAUCAGUCAACACUUGAUGCUACUGCGCAGCACCCGCUCACCAUCGUCUCCUAGCCUUUGACACUCGGUUUUCCCCAAACUUUCAAACCAAAAGCUUGCUUCUUUCUUCAUCCUUGAUUGCACUGAAGUAGAGUCUUGUUCCAAAAAUCCCCAAACCCUCUAAUUCAAUUUCAAAUUUCAGGGUUGCCCACAAUUGCAAAAUCAGGGUUUUUGAGGGGGUUAUUUUUUUGGUAGCAAAACCCUAGGAAUGUAAUAAAUUUAGGGGUUUGUCCCAUAAACCCUAACCCAGUUCCGAUUUCGAUCAAAGCCGUCAAAUUUGGGAAGAAAGUUAUCACAUUUGGGUUGUUUCUGAGGGUUUCAACCUAGAAUGGUUUCGGGCCCACUUGUUGGAGACGAAGCCAGCAACAGAUUCUAUUCUCGGAACGCCCAGAAUCCCAACCAUGUCAUACGUCACUCGCCGGAGCAGCAGAGCUUGAUGCAGCAGUUUCGAGGCGAGACGGCGUCGUUUGAUUCCUCGAACAAUGGGCUCGCCGAGCCCGGCAAUGGGCCACGUGGGUAUUCGAAGGUGGGGGACAAGGUGAGGAUUUGCUUGAACUCCAAGGCUGAUAUUAACGGAAUCAAGUGGAAGCUGAUGGGUGAGCUGGAGCAAGUGAGGAGCUUGGUGAGGAAUCUCGAAGCCAAGGAGGCUCAGCUUACUGAAGGGUAUGGUUUUUCUCAGAAAUCUGAUCAUAAUUUGGUAGAUAAUAAUAAUAGAAGUACAAUGUCGUUUAGGGGUAUAGGUGUUUGUAACGCGGAGAAUGAGAAUAAGGGUGGUGAGGGUGUGGAGAAAAAGAAGAGGAAGACUCCGAAGGGAGAUCAGAGUUCUAGGAAUCUGAAGUUACCUCCUUCCGGGGGUAAGAAGAAUUUGGGUAGGAAGAGUGAAGUUGGGCUGUUGUUGGGGCCGGAUAAGAAUUCGAGUAGAUUGUUGAAGAGUUGUACUACUUUGCUUGAGAAAUUGAUGAAGCAUAAGCAUGGCUGGGUGUUUAAUAAGCCGGUAGAUGCUAAGGGGCUUGGCCUUCAUGAUUAUUAUAAGAUUGUUAAGCAUCCAAUGGAUUUGGGGACGGUGAAGAGUAGGCUGGACAAGAAUUGGUAUAAGACGGCUGCUGAGUUUGCGGAGGAUGUGAGACUUACGUUCAAUAAUGCCAUGUUGUAUAACCCGAAAGAGCAGGACGUUCAUGUGAUGGCAGCCCUAUUGUUGAAGUUGUUUGAAGAGAAAUGGGCGGCUAUAGAGGAUCAGUAUAAUCUUAAUAGGAGAGCUGAAAUAGGUAAUGAUUCAGAAUUCCCAACCCCUGCUUCAAGAGAUGUUGAAGCUCCUGCUCAGUAUAAUAUCAAUAGGAGGGUUGAAAUGGGUAAUAAUUCAGAAGUCCCAACCCCCAUGUCAAGAAAGGUUCAGGGUCCUGCUCAUAAUAUUAAUAGGAGAAUUGGAAUGGGUAAUAGUUCAGAAUUGCCUACCCCUAUUUCAAGAAAGGUCCAGGCUCCUCCUCCUCCUCUUCCUUCUCCUUCUCCUCGACCAUUGGAGAUGAGGACUCUGGAUAGAGCAGAAUCGAUGACAAAGCCUGUUGAUCCCAAGUUGAAACCUGCAAGUGUUGGUCAUACAGGUAGAAAGCCGGUUCCAAAGAAACCAAAAGCUCGGGACCCUGACAAAAGGGAUAUGAAUAUGGAGGAGAAGCAGAAGCUCAGCACAGACCUUCAGGCUUUGCCUUCUGAGAAACUAGCUAAUGUUGUCCAGAUUGUUAGAAAGAGGUGUCAAGGGAUUCUACAGCAAGACGAUGAGAUUGAAUUGGACAUUGGCAGUGUUGAUCCUGAAACACUCUGGGAACUGGAUAGGUUUGUGACUAAUUACAAAAAGAGCUUGACCAAAAAUAAGAGAAAAGCUGAACUUGCUCCUCUAUCAGUAGAAGAAUCUGACUAUGCUAUGCAGGAGGUAAGGCUAUCAGUCAUGUAGUAUUGAAGUCCUCUUCUUUGUUUUUUUCUUUUUUAUGUUUGUAUAGCUUAUACUUGACUUUUAUCUUUUGAACUUGCAGAAUGUGGCACAAGCCACCGUAGAGGCACAACAUGAACCCAUAGCAGGUAUAAAUUUUACUCUUAAUGCCCCAGUGGACUUUGAUUUAUGCCCACUGCUGCAACUUGAUAACAAUAUAACAAUAUACUUAUUGCAAACUAUUUGGGCUAAACUUGUUACCUCAAUUAGCAGUUGAAUACAACGACAAUGCAUCGUCCCCGGUUCAAAGAGAAGAUCAAGGUGGGAAUGUGAGUGGAUCAAGUAGUUCUAGUAGUGGUUCUGGAUCCUCUUCAAGUGGUAAAUAUCAUUAUUUUGCUUUCCUAUACUUAUAAGGUUGUAGUGCUCUUUAAGAUGAUAAAUAAUUAAUUUUUUUGUUACGUUCUGUACAGAUUCGGACAAUGAUAGUUCCUCUGGAAGUGGAUCAUAUUCAAAUUGUUGACCGAGGACUUGAAUUGAUUAGUUAAGGUAGGUAGCACCAUCUUUGUUAAUGAGUAUUUCCAUUUUCUGGUCAUCAUGCAUGUGACCAUGGGCAAUUUGCUUUUUUUAGGCUUCAAAAUGCAUUUGGUGUUGAAUCAACUAUUGAUUAUGAUACAUGGAUACUUUUAUAUCAUUAGUGGUAUGCUGCUCUUUUUGCUUCCAUAAUUGCUCAUUAUUGACCUUCUUUGAUUUUGUGAGCCCCAAAAAGGGAAAUGAAAAAAUGCGGAGGUUUUAUGAAACGAGUGACUUGGUGAUCUGCCAUUUGUCAUUUUGGAAAUUAACUUGUUCCUUUUCUUCUCCUCUCAGCCCUGUAUGGCCACCUCUCAAUAAAUAAUAAAUUCAGAAAUAGCAGUCAGAAGUGUUAACGUGUGUGUGUUUCAUAUGUUAUGCUGUUUACCAUAUUGAUUACUAGAAAUUAUUAUAAUAUGUACUUAAAUAUGUUUAAUACUUGCAAGCAUUUUGAAACUAUUGGAGAAUUUAACCGCUUCUUUCUUUAGAACUCAAGCUGUUUCUUCUCAUUUCAUAUAUCUCUGUUCCAUAUUAUUCGUCAUAUGUAUUUUUGCUGUACUUGUUUGCUCUGUAAUUAUGGCGUACAUUCAUCUCUCUAGCAGGUAGUGAUGUUUUCAUCUAGUAGUGGCACCCCUCCACUUUUUAGCUUUUUUGAUUAUCAUGAAAUUAUUUUAGAAAUAUGAAUGCCUUCUCUGUUGGGAGCACCAACUUGUCUUCUUUGGUUGCCAAUGCUUAGUAGGUGCCUGUGCAUUUUUUUGUUGUUGUUCAAGUUAUAAUGCACAUAAUAUAUAUUUAUGGGUAUCUUCUAUGCAUGAUACGGCUGCUCGUGCAUCAUAAUAUUUUCUUGGGAUCAGAAUCCAUUUCAAUGACAACAAAAAAGGCUUUGGAUUUGACAGAAAGGCUAUACGAAUUUUAUUUUAUUUGAAGAAUCUGUCAAACUUUAAUAUAUAUUUUGUUUUUGAAGUGAUUAGAUAUGAACUUUAUAUAGGCAAAGAAUUAUCUGAAAUUCAAAUGGUUUCUUAGUGUUAUUCUAUUCCAAUCUAGUUUUUCCAUAUAAUAGUUUAAUCAAAUAUUGGUUAGAUCCCUAGAUGUGCAAAAUACCCCCAAGUGCGCCCUUGAUGAUUUUAGAUAGCUCCCUCUGCAAUAUCCAAUUAAAAAGAUGGUUAAUACCUCCAAAGUCGGAGGGUAUACUAAAUUCUCUUGCAAUAAUUGAACCAAGAUGGCUUCUGGGCUUAAUUCAUGUUUAAUGCGUGUGCUGAAAUCAACAUUUUUGGAUGAAAUGUUAUAGAACCUUGUAGUUAAGAGUCUCUUUUCUUAGAGAUCUGUAUGAUGCUAGAUUUGUCUUGUAUAUGCAUGUCUCCACAUUGAUUGAGAAUCUGUUAAUCCAAAUUCAUUAACAUACAAAGUUUGUAGCAAAAAACAAAAAAACAAAAUCAGUGAUAUGCACUUAAGAUGAUCAUGUGCAUGCAUGAAUAUACUGUCAUUCUGUAGUUCAUUUUGUAAAGCUCUAUGUGGAUGUCUGAUGCAAGUUUUCUUAUUUUUUUGACAGCUCGGUGUUUUAGAGAAGUUUUUGUUCAGCCUGGGAUAUGGUGUGUACAUCAUGUUUGAUCCAUCUGACAGCUGCCCCAUAAUCAGAGUUCUCCAUAGGUAUAUGUUAAUGUGGCACAGUUAACCUAAAUGGUGAGGGUAUGGUGUGGGGAAAUGGGCUAGGUUUAGGAUUAGGAUAAUCCCUUACAAUGUAACCUGAAAACAAUAUCAUGGUUACAUGAAAUAUUUUCUAUGAUAGUACGAUUGCAACUGGUGCUCGCUAUUUCCACAUCCAAAUGAAAUUUACUUUUGAUUGGGGAGCUAUUAUCAAAGGAUUUAUGCAGCCAAAGUUGGUAGGCUGAAUUCAAGUCUACAGUUGUCCUUGUGCUCUCGCAUGGCAUCUUGAUGACUUGUGAUCUAGUUGUUGUCAUUGUGGAUAUUAUUUUAUGUUUUGAACAAUAUUAAACAUUUGGCAUUGAUCUGUAGCGUUGUAGAGGAAAAUGUCUAUAUUUUCCAAUCAAAAAUUAGUUGUUCCAUUUUGGUCUUCUACCUUGGUCUUGAAUUUGUAGCAGGCCUUUGUGGUUUCUUUUUUUUCUUGAAAUACUGGAUUUUAUUCAAUAGAUUAUAAGGAAUGGUUUCAUUCUUGUGUAACUAGAUCACUAGUACACAAUGGAGCAGAUGCAAGCCACAACUCAGUCUGCUCUUCAUAGGCAACAUCAGCCAGCUUGUGGGCUACUUCGCAGGACCUGGGAGAAAAGCUGAUUCAAACACCCAUCUCAAUCUUUUUAUGUCAUGAUGUCAUUGACUUGCUUAUCUCAAACAGAUUCACAGCGGUACUAGCAAUUUCCUGAACAGCUAGCAAGCAGUCCGAUUUGAUGAUGGCUUCUUUUAGUUUUAGCUGGUGUAUGAGACGUAGACGGUAGACCCUCUUGGAUGGUCAGUAGUUCUACACUUCUACUUGUGGUGCUGCAUUGACGUGAUGCUCAUUUGCACAGGCUUGAUGAGAGCAGCCUGAAACGCACCAUCGGAGUUUCUUAAUACACAACGAACACUCAUGUGGUAUAUGUAUGCGGUACAAAAGCUCCAUCAACAUUGAGCUUUGGGGUUUCUGCAUUUAGGCUUUGGGGUGUGUAGCAGUAGUGUGUCCAGCUUGUUGGAAUCACUCAAGUAAAACACCCGAACAAAAUAUCAAUUGGCGUCUGCGUCCACCUACCAAGACAACCUGAACACCUAAAUCCAUUUCAAUCACCCCCAUCGCAUUAGGACCCAACUCGGAGAAACACUCACCCUAAAGCUGACCAACACCUAAACCAAAUUUACAAGGAAAACAAGCAAAGCUCAAAUCAAACUUUCUGAAGACAACAAAGCACCAAACUAUUGUUGUAUAGUAGGAAUCAUCUUAGCCACCUGUUCUCUCUUAGUAUAACGGUAUAACCUAUGAACUCUGGAUUUCUUUUCGAGUAUACUUGUAUCAUUGCAUGUAUACAAAGUUCAUGUUUUGUGAUUUCUGUAGAAGCACAAAUACAUGAGAUGCAUUGUAGAGAUCGUAGAUUUUAAGAAAUUGAUCUCCCUCGUUCUUCCUUCUUUGUAAGUUCUGUUUGGGUGGUUGUCUCUGUCCAUUUGGCAACUGAAUUAGGGCCAUGAGGCAUGAGCUGUUGAGUUCUCAAUUCUCCUUUUUAAUUCUUCCAUAGUUCUAUUUAGAGAAAAUGUUCAUUUAAUACUAAUUUAAACCCCUCAUUUCACAUUCCAAUGACAAUCUUUUUCAUAAACCCAUUCUAAUAUAAGGUAACCUUUUUUAUGCCCAAAUGCAUAAAUCUUUACUAAAGUCUUAACAAACUAUAUUAUUUUAAGACUAUUUUGCCUUCACCCCGUAAACAUGUAUAGAGAGAGAACGGAAGAAAGAGAAUACUUGGCCGGAAUCUCAUCGAACUCUGGUCACCGGCCGUUGGACAACAGUCAUUGGCUGUCAGACUCCAGUUGCCGGAUUUCUCCGGAAGUCAGAUUCCAGUCACCGGUAACUCGGUUACUGACCCCCAAUAAAUUCGUUACUGACCCCAAUAAUCAGUUACUGACCCUCAAUAAUUGGGUUACUGACCUCAAUAAUCAAUUACUGACCCCCAAUAAUCGAGUUACUUACCACAUUAAUCAGUUACUGACCCCCAAUAAUCGGGUUACUACCCCCAAUAACUUGGUUACUGACCUUCAUAAUUGGUUACUACCCCUUAAUAAUCAGUUAAUGACCCUCAAUAAUCAGUUACUGACCCCCAAUAAUCGGGUUACUGACCACAAUAAUCAGUUACUGACCCCUAAUAAUCGGGUUACUACCCCCAAUAACUUGGUUACUGACCCCCAAUAAUCAGUUACUGACCCAAUAAUCAACUUAUUUCAGCUUAUUGUAAUAGAAAAAAGAAAUACCCAAACAUAAUCGAGUUAUUAACCCCAAAAUAGUUACUAACCCCCAAUAAAAUAUUGAAACAACUCAGAACCGUCACCUCUGUGAAUCCGUUAAAAUAAUUAGUUAAAAUAUUAAAAAAAAUGAAGAUAUAACAGAAGAAUAAGUAGCUCCCCAAACAAAAAAAAAACCUCAUUGAAAACAAAAAAAAACAAAAAAGAAAUGGACGAAAACCCAAAUCGGAUUUGUGACUACAGUACCGCCGUCUAUCCAUAUCCCCCAUUCCUAAAAAGAUGUAUUCCCUUUGAUUGAUACCAUGUGCAAACACACAACGAAUUUCUUCUUUGAUCAUAUAUGAUUUUUUCUUAGUUUCAUUAACUUACAAGAUAUUUGAACUUUUUUCUUGGACUAAGCACCAGAUCUCAGACGAAGUCCAGAUCUUUCGACGAAGCUUCAUGUGAUAAGAGGACGAGGAGGAGCCCGAGGUCGUCGUUCGCUCAGCCUACUCUGACGACGAAGAGGUCGCCGAUGAGAAUUCUGCAGCUCCGAUGAGUCGAUGACGAGGUAGCCCCGAUUGAGAACGACGAAGUUCUCGACAGAGAAUUGAAGCUGGAUCUGAUUGUACUUCGACGAGGAGAGAGAGAGAAGGUGACGACCGAGAAAGUGGAGAUCGAAGAUGGUUAUCAGAGAGAGAGAGAGAUAGAUUGUGGAGAAGAGAUUGGACUUUGAGAGAUCCUUCGGGAGGGAUGAGAGAGAUAGGUUGGUAUUAGAUUAGGGGUAGAUUUAUUAUUUUGCAUUAAAACAUUGAAAUGGCACAUGAAAAAGUAAUGGAUUGGGAUUUAGUUUAGUUAAUUUUGUGCAAAUAGUCAUUAUCUCUUUUAUUUAUCACUUCUGACAAAAAAAAAAAUAUUAUUAUUAUUAUUAUUAUUGAGUAAAAGAAAUUGUUCCUUGACACUUCACAGAAGGGUUUGCAUCCCCAGGCUACGACGCAUCCAUGUCCGUAUCUAGACCAUAAACAUGAGAAUAUAUUCCAUUCCAAGUGGUGAAAAACCAUACACAAACAAAUGGUUGAAAAACACUGCACAUUUGUUGUCAUCUGAGUCGCCAUCUGCAAUAGGUUGUGAGAUGCUUGCUGCUUAUCUUCCAGAUAGUGGCAAGCACUCUAUUUGGAACUUUGAGAGCAACACUAUACUGGUCUAUUAGUUUUGUCAUCCAAACCACUUUCAAAAAUUGAAUUGGAGUCUUUGAGGCUAUCUCUCAAAUCCAUUAUUUCUCAUGGCUUCUACAAAAUCCAUUCAAAUGACUAAACACUAUUCAGACAUUUGCGAUCAAGUUCAAACAGAGUAAACUCUCCCAUAAACAUGACACCGGGAAUUAUUGACACAACGUUUGGUCCUAUCAGAGCUUACUCCAAUAAAACGCCGGCACUGCUGGCAGCAAUGAAA